GCGGAGUGCCAAGGUAGUUUUA
rnacentral:tRNA from 1 species